GCCCUAAUGAAGAACAGAUUCAAACAGAGGAGGAAACUGGAAUGCCUUCCUGUUGGUUGCUCAGUCCAAGAUAUGGGGAGUUUCUGCUGUCAGCUCUGUGAAGGCUUUGGGCCAUCUCUGACAACCCUUGUGUACUGAUAAAGCUCAGGGAUGGAGUCAAGCCUGUUGUAAUUCAUUCAGCUUUGAAUGAUUCUGUGGCAACACUGCUCACUGAAAGGCUCUUCACAGUCUUCUUUCUUAAUGCUGGAAGCAGAUCAUGCUCCAUUCAAUGACAAGAACAUUUAAUCAGCUUAAUAUUGUAUUUAAACUUUUUUAUUUACAGGCGCUGUAGAAACCGGCAUGAUCACAGGCUGUCCCCUGCAGAGGUGGAGUCCAUGAGGAUGUCCUGGCCCAUAACCUGUACCAAGUGCGACAAAGGGCACCAUCAUACAACCGCCACAACCUGCCUUCCAAUACCAGUGAGAAACAGGCCCAGGAAAUCCUCAUCCGUCGGCAGCACAGCCUGAGGCAGAGUUGCAGGAAGGGGAACAGCUUACCUUGGGGUAGACCGGUUAAUGCCACAAGCAUGCGCUACCUCUCCUUGCCGCAGGACCACAGUGGCCAGCCCACUAGGCGGAAAGCCAGGCAUGUUACUUUCACAGGUAAUGGAAAUGUUUUGUGCUGUAUUUGCUCUAGCAGUGAGAUAAUUGGCCAGUUGUUUGAUGGAUUUAACAGCACUCAGUGAAUACUCGCAAGGAACUCACUGGUCUCUUUAAAUGAGCUACACCCUUCCCUCCUAUCUUUUUAUCUGCACUGUUUAUAUGGUUAUGACUGUUGCAGUUUCUGUCUUGUUCCAGCACCGCCUACUUGUCUCUAAUUUCCUCUUGCACAAAUACUCCUGUGAUCCCUGCAAUUUAACAUGUGCAUGAUGACUUCCGUGUAAGCCCAAGAAAGGAAACUUUCCUGCAGCCCCAUAGACAAAACUGUAAGCAGAAUUGUUAGGAGGUUCUUAUGUCACUAGCCUGAUAGGGUUGAGGAUGGCACACUUCCAUGCCCAUAUCUUUAUGUCCCAGGAGGGGAGGCUAAAAGGAGUUCCCAGUAGCACACACACAUACCAUAAUUCAGCAUACACACACACACGGCCAGCCACCCCAAGUAGCACAGCACUCACACAAUCACACAGCACCAACAGCCUCUUCCUGUUUCCUUCUCUGGUUGAACAAGAUGAAAGGCUGGUAGUGGAAAACUGCAUAGACAUGCACACAUGUGCACACACAGUCCCCCAACACAAACAUGCACAGUAGAUCCCUCUAUAACUGGAACUGGACACUCAGUCUUGCCCUAACUGGCUCCUGUGUCCCCUAAUCUUCCCUUGCUUUGCACUCGGGGAUACAUGCAUACAAACUAGUCUCACUGGUACCUUGUCCAGCCUGUGGCCCAACCAGUAGCCAGCCACAGACCCCAUGCUCUCUCUAAUCACUAAUCUGAACCUCCUGGUCCACCCAAUAGCGAACUCACAGACCUGAUCUCUUCAGUGUCUGCUAUGGUUGCUCCAACACUUACUUCCUAAGCCUCUUAUCUUACUGCCUUGAUGAUAGCUAGCAAUUUUGCACUGACGUGCAUCUACACAAUAUGUAUGAACCUCAGUCUGUCUGACUGCUGUACUCAGACCUUCAUAC
ensembl:lncRNA